UCGAUAUUGAGCUAUGUGCAAGUGUUGACUGGGGUUUCUAAUACUACCAUAAGAUGAAUUGUUGCCGAGGGCAGAUCUAACAGAGGCGUAUUUAGUACGCCCGGUAAAAAGAGGAAAGGUGGUUUUGAUUUAGAAUUGAAAAAAAAACUAAAUAUCAGAUAGAUGAGAUUUUUAAAUCACACGGCCACGAAGUCUUGAGGCUCCCACCAUAUCAUUGUACGGUAAACCCCAUAGAAUUAAUCUGGGGAAUAAUGAAACGGGUAAAAACGUUACUAUACCUGCAAGUAACAUAAAAUUUUUAACAGAGAAGAGAUUUAAGAAGCUUACUCUCAAGUAGGGAUCGAUGAAUGGCGAAAAUCUUGUGAACGUCUAAUAAAAAUUGAAAAUCAGUUCAUAGAACAAGAACAGUUAAUUGAGAUGCAGGAGGAUAGGUUUAUCUUAAAUACUGCGUCUUCCUCUUCAUAUGAAGACUUUUUUAUGGAUGUGCAGUAUUUGGAACCAUUUUCAAGUUCUAAUAGCCUAUAAUUAAUUAAUAAACUCAUGAACAGAAUAA